GGGCAAAACUUUUUUAAGCAUAUAUAAGGGGGGUAGAGGUGUUGGAGGCAGACUGAGGCGCAGGCAGGCAGACGGCAUAGGCGUCCCGUGGGCUUAGCAGGCGUGCUGCGUGGGCGCUUGAUGGCAUGCAUGGCUUGUCCGUGCUACGCCGUUGGGCGUUUACAAAAACACGUCGGCGACGUCGACGGGUCGAGUGGGCAACGGCAGGCGGACGCCGAGGGCGUCCUGUGGGCUUAGUAGGCGUGCUGCGUGGGCGCUUGAUGGCAUGCAUGAUUCGUCCGUGCUACGUCGUUGGGCGUCUACAAAAACAUGCUAGCGACGUUUGCGGGGCAACUGAAGCGAAGGCAGGCGGACGUCGAGGGCGUCCUAUUGGGCU
rnacentral:rRNA from 1 species